UACAGAGGGUGCGAGCGUUGUCCGGAAUCACUGGGCGUAAAGGGCGCGUAGGUGGCCGGUCAGUUCGUGGUGAAAGCGCGGGGCUCAACCCUGCGUCGGCCAUGAAUACUGCCGCGGCUGGAGCACUGUAGAGGCAGGCGGAAUUCCGGGUGUAGCGGUGGAAUGCGUAGAGAUCCGGAAGAACACCGGUGGCGAAGGCGGCCUGCUGGGCAGUUGCUGACACUGAGGCGCGACAGCGUGGGGAGCAAACAGG
rnacentral:rRNA from 1 species